AUUGAACGCUGGCGGCAUGCCUUACACAUGCAAGUCGAACGGCAGCACGGGUGCUUGCACCUGGUGGCGAGUGGCGAACGGGUGAGUAAUACAUCGGAACAUGUCCUGUAGUGGGGGAUAGCCCGGCGAAAGCCGGAUUAAUACCGCAUACGAUCUACGGAUGAAAGCGGGGGACCUUCGGGCCUCGCGCUUUGGGGUUGGCCGAUGGCUGAUUAGCUAGUUGGUGGGGUAAAGGCCUACCAAGGCGACGAUCAGUAGCUGGUCUGAGAGGACGACCAGCCACACUGGGACUGAGACACGGCCCAGACUCCUACGGGAGGCAGCAGUGGGGAAUUUUGGACAAUGGGCGAAAGCCUGAUCCAGCAAUGCCGCGUGUGUGAAGAAGGCCUUCGGGUUGUAAAGCACUUUUGUCCGGAAAGAAAUCCUUGGCCCUAAUACGGUCGGGGGAUGACGGUACCGGAAGAAUAAGCACCGGCUAACUACGUG
rnacentral:rRNA from 1 species